rnacentral:rRNA from 1 species
CCUACGGGUGGCUGCAGUAAGGAAUAUUGGACAAUGGCCGGAAGACUGAUCCAGCCAUGCCGCGUGAAGGACGAAGGCGCUCAGCGUUGUAAACUUCUUUUGGAUGGGGAUAAUAACCUCGAUUUAUCGGGGCUUGAAGGUACCAUCAGAAUAAGCACCGGCUAACUCCGUGCCAGCAGCCGCGGUAAUACGGAGGGUGCGAGCGUUAUCCGGAAUCACUGGGUUUAAAGGGUGCGUAGGCGGCGAGGUAAGUCAGUUGUGAAAUUCCCCGGCUCAACCGGUGGGACUGCGAUUGAUACUGCUUUGCUUGAAACAGGUUGAGGUAAGCGGAAUGUGACAUGUAGCGGUGAAAUGCAUAGAUAUGUCAUAGAACACCGAUUGCGAAGGCAGCUUGCUGGGCCUUGUUUGACGCUGAGGCACGAAAGCGUGGGGAGCAAACAGGAUUAGAUACCCCAGUAGUC